rnacentral:sRNA from 1 species
UCAGGUGAAAGUCAAACCAAAUUCUCUGACACCGCAAAACAGUCAAUCCAUCCAUAUGAUUUUGGAUUCCAGAAAUUCGGUGAAUCAAUUAGAGGUACCAGCAUAAAACUGGUUGCGACUGAAGUUUGCUUCCUGGAAACUCGUUUGAAAUUCUAGUAAGCCUGGCAAGCUAGUUGGUAGUUAGUUCGAUCACAUUCCUCUCAGCCUCACACUCACGCCUGUGGGCGUUGCGGCAAAAUCACGGCCGUAUAUGAUGACACAGGAAUGCUGAAACGGGAAAAACUGAUUGGACAAGUGAAAUAUCUGCUGGAGAUUGUCGGAGAUAACCAAGCCAGGCGUCGUUGGAUGAUAAAGCACAAAAGGGAAU